rnacentral:rRNA from 1 species
AUUGAACGCUGGCGGCAUGCUUUACACAUGCAAGUCGAACGGUAACAGGCCUUCGGGUGCUGACGAGUGGCGAACGGGUGCGUAAUGCAUCGGAACGUGCCCAGAGGUGGGGGAUAACGCAGCGAAAGCUGUGCUAAUACCGCAUGUGAUCUGAGGAUGAAAGCGGGGGACCAGGCAGCAAUGUUUGGCCUCGCGCCUUUGGAGCGGCCGAUGUCAGAUUAGGUAGUUGGUGGGGUAAAGGCCUACCAAGCCGACGAUCUGUAGCUGGUCUGAGAGGACGACCAGCCACACUGGGACUGAGGCACGGCCCAGACUCCUACGGGAGGCAGCAGUGGGGAAUUUUGGACAAUGGGCGCAAGCCUGAUCCAGCAAUGCCGCGUGCGGGAAGAAGGCCUUCGGGUUGUAAACCGCUUUUGUACGGAACGAAAAGGCUCUGGCUAAUACCUGGGGCUGAUGACGGUACCGGAAGAAUAAGCACCGGCUAACUACGUG